GCCGGCGUAGCUCAGGGGUAGAGCAGCUGAUUCGUAAUCAGCAGGCCGUUGGUUCAAAUCCUACCGCCGGCU
rnacentral:tRNA from 1 species